GACACCCAGUGGCCUAAGUGGUUAGAGUAUCUGCCUCAAAUGCAUGUGGGUUUGAAUUGGUCGUGGGUUUGAAUCCCCACUGAGUCA